rnacentral:piRNA from 1 species
UGGCAAGGCCAAGCUGAUGAUGUUACC